rnacentral:rRNA from 1 species
GCAGCCGCGGUAAUACGGGGGAUGCAAGCGUUAUCCGGAUUUAUUGGGUUUAAAGGGUGCGUAGGCGGCCUGUUAAGUCAGCGGUGAAAUUCAGGGGCUCAACCUCUGCCGUGCCGUUGAUACUGGCAAGCUGGAAUGCGGAUGCCGUGGGAGGAAUGUGUGGUGUAGCGGUGAAAUGCAUAGAUAUCACACAGAACACCGAUUGCGAAGGCAUCUCACGAAUCCGCAAUUGACGCUGAUGCACGAAAGCGUGGGGAUCAAACAGGAUUAGAUACCCC